CCUACGGGAGGCAGCAGUGGGGGAUAUUGCACAAUGGGGGGAACCCUGAUGCAGCGACGCCGCGUGUGGGAAGACGGUCCUCUGGAUUGUAAACCACUGUCCCCAGGGACGAAAAUGACGGUACCGGGGGAGGAAGCGCAGGCUAACUACGUGCCAGCAGCCGCGGUAAGAAGGAGGGAGCGAGCGGUGGCCGGAAUUACUGGGUGUAAAGGGAGCGGAGGCGGGGAUGCAAGUUGGGUGUCAAAACUACCGGCUCAACUGGGAGGCGCACUCCAAACUGCAGCUCUUGAGUGAAGGAGCGGCAGGCGGAAUUCCUAGUGUAGCGGUGAAAUGCGUAGAUAUUAGG
rnacentral:rRNA from 1 species